CCACGUACGGAGCAGAUACUCCGCGCUGUCAUGAUCGUAGUCCGUGUCUUCGGGGAAGUGGUUGAUCUUCACGCAGACGCCUCUUUUCAACCCUGGAGGGGAACGGGGUGGUGAUGGGGGCUUCACGGUUGGAGGCGGGGCAGUCCCGGUUUCCCAACCUGUUGAAGAAAGAAAUAACAAACGAGGGCCUACCGCCCUUACAGUGCUCAAUAAACGGCCACAGGACCUUCGCCCAGUAACCUCGGGAAACGAAACAGACCUGAGUCCAAAUGCAGGCCCUGCUGCUGAUCAGCUGUGUGACCCUGGACCAGUUCCUGCACCUCUCUGAGCCUCGGCUUCCUCUUCUAGCAGAUGCGAGUAACACUUGUACGUAUUCACGGGGGUUGUAGACAUCCGGAGAUGAAUGCAUGACAAUUACAGUGACGAUAAAGUCAGCUUUUGUUUAUCCCCUCCUUAAAACUUCCUUCCUUUGGCUUCCGGAAUGCCCACUUACCUGGAUUUUCUCAAAUCUCCAUGGCCUGUCUCAUAUCCCUUUACUGGUUUCUUUUCCUCGCCCUGAACUUUUGAGAAUGGACUGCCUCAGCCCCUAAACUGCUCUUCUGUUUUUUGUUUCUAUCUCUACUCACUCAUUCUCUAGUGAGCUGCAUGUGACAAUAACCCUAAAUUUACUUCUCCGGGCCACAUACCCCUUGAACUCCAGACUCAAGCAUCCUAUUUAACAUGCCUAGAUCAGGGGUCAGCAAACUAUGGCCCAUGGGCAAAUCCAGCUAAGAAUGGGUUUCACAUUUUUAAAUGAUGGAGAAAAAAAUCAAAGAAGAAUAUUU